CCUACGGGAGGCAGCAGUGGGGAAUAUUGCACAAUGGGGGAAACCCUGAUGCAGCGACGCCGCGUGAGUGAAGAAGUAAUUCGGUAUGUAAAGCUCUAUCAGCAGGGAAGAAAAUGACGGUACCUGAGUAAGAAGCCCCGGCUAACUACGUGCCAGCAGCCGCGGUAAUACGUAGGGGGCAAGCGUGAUCCGGAUUUACUGGGUGUAAAGGGAGCGUAGACGGCAGUGCAAGUCUGGAGUGAAAGGCGGGGGCUCAACCCCCGGACUGCUCUGGAAACUGUACGGCUGGAGUGCAGGAGAGGUAAGUGGAAUUCCUAGUGUAGCGGUGAAAUGCGUAGAGAUUAGGAGGAACACCAGUGGCGAAGGCGGCUUACUGGACUGUAACUGACGUUGAGGCUCGAAAGCGUGGGGAGCAAACAGGAUUAGAUACCCCAGUAGUC
rnacentral:rRNA from 1 species